rnacentral:lncRNA from 1 species
GAGGGAAUUACCAACCCUGGAAAACCACUUUCUAUCCAUAAACUGCACAGAAGGUUCCAUGUCUUGCUCUGGAAUGCCACCCUAGUGGGUCCUCCCAGCAGAGAUCCUUUGGGAGAAAGACCCGUGUGCGGAUCACAGCAGCUGCGUCAGCGCACAGCCAGACUCCAUUUCAGAAGCUGUUUCUUACCCUCGAUCAAGAGCGAUACAGAAGCAGACGAUCCUCCAUCUGACAUAUUGUCAGAAGCUCAAUAGCAGCCCAAUGCUACGUCACAUCACCUACGUCAUUCACAUCACCUCAUCACCCCACAGAGGCAUUUUAUCAUUUCAUAUCAUCACAAGAUGAAGG